rnacentral:rRNA from 1 species
GGAAGUAAAAGUCGUAACAAGGUUUCCGUAGGUGAACCUGCGGAAGGAUCAUUACUGAUUUAGCGAACCGAGCAUUAGCGAGGUUUUGCGAUCAAUUUAUAUUUAAAACCCACUCUUUAAUGUAUAAAAUUUGUAUUAAUGAUAAAUUAAAAGAUCACUUUCAACAACGGAUCUCUUGGCUCUCGCAUCGAUGAAGAACGUAGCGAAGUGCGAUAAGUAAUGUGAAUUGCAGUAUUCCGUGAAUCAUCGAAUCUUUGAACGCAUAUUGCACUUUCUGGUAUUCCGGAAAGUAUGCCUGUUUGAGGGUCAGUUAAAUAAAAAUCGGUGUUGUUGCCGCUUUUCGAGGUGACGCGUCGGAAUUGAGUUGUCUUACCUUCGGUUAAGUGACUUAGAAUUUUGUAUGAUUUUCGAACGUAUUUAAAUUUAUUUGAACGUUUGAUAUCGAAUGCUUAUUAGGUUCGGUCAUCCUCAUGACUCGCGCCUAUAAUUUUUCAUUAAAUGACCUCAAAUCAGGUAAGAAUACCCGCUGAACCUAAGCAUAUCAAUAAGCGGAGGA